UUUUGUUAGCUACUUGAGUUUUCAGGCGUUACUUGCUUUUUAUGAUGAGAAUUGUUGUAGUUCUAAUAUUAGAGACAUUCUCUUAUUGUAAAUAACUUUGAUAUGUUUUUCUUUUUAUGGUCUUUUCUACACUUCCCUUCUUUGGUCACUCUUGUACCUUGUAUUUAUAUUUCUUUAGUGCAUGGAGUAGGCAAUUUUGAUUCUGUCAAACCUAAUUCUUUUACAUGGUACUAGAGCGUUCCAAAAAAUUAGGUUUUUGAGAAUUUAGAACCCUUAUGUGGAGUAGGUGGAUUUAUACUUUUGUGCAACGCCACCGUUCUUGGUUUGUUUGGCAUCGUCAGCCGCUGCUGCCAGAAGUUUGGUCUCUUUUUCUUCAUUAUUUUUCGACACCACCCAGUCCAACGAGGAGCCCAGACGUCGAUCUAUAGAAUUCCUUCUAAGCGCGUGAAGCUCACACGCUGCCACUUCCUCUGUCGCUACAUCCUCGUGCUGAUGCGUGUAGGUGUGCGCGCCCCCUUUCUUGUUCAUCUUCUGUGGGGCUUGUCGGAGUUGUUUCCCCACUUCGGUAAUGGCUGACAAGAAACCAGUAGUCAUCGAAGAUGAUUCCUAUGAUGUCAAAAGUAAUUGAACACAAGUUGAAUGGAUCCAAUUACUAUUCAUGAAGAUCAAAUGUUCACUACUUUAUUAGGAGCAUUGAGAAGAAUGAAUGUUUCAAGGAAGAGCCACCAGCUGAUGAUACUAAAAAGAUUUGGUGGCGGACGAUUCAAGAAUGCUUCUACGAAUAAAAAACUCUAUUGACAGUGAAAUCGUUGAGUAAUUCACUGCAAAUUUGUCAAAGAACUACCGAAUACCUGGAUUUUCUUUAUUCUGGGAAAGAAAACAUUAAUAGAGUUUUUGAUGAUUGUAAGGCUCUA